AUUGAACGCUGGCGGCGUGCCUAACACAUGCAAGUCGAGCGGUAACAGGUGUAGCAAUACAUGCUGACGAGCGGCGGACGGGUGAGUAACGCUUGGGAAUCUGCCUAUUAGUGGGGGACAACCCGGGGAAACUCGGGCUAAUACCGCAUACGCUCUACGGAGGAAAGCCGGGGACCGCAAGGCCUGGCGUUAAUAGAUGAGCCCAAGUCGGAUUAGCUAGUUGGUAGGGUAAUGGCCACCAAGGCGACGAUCCGUAACUGGUCUGAGAGGACGACCAGUCACACCGGAACUGAGACACGGUCCGGACUCCUACGGGAGGCAGCAGUGGGGAAUAUUGGACAAUGGGCGAAAGCCUGAUCCAGCGACGCCGCGUGGGUGAAGAAGGCCUGCGGGUUGUAAAGCACUUUCAGUAGGGAAGAAAAGCCGAGUGCUAAUACCAUUCGGUCUUGACGUUACUUACAGAAGAAGCACCGGCUAACUCCGUGCCAG
rnacentral:rRNA from 1 species